rnacentral:rRNA from 1 species
UACGAAGGCCCCGAGCGUUAUCCGGAUUUAUUGGGCGUAAAGAGUUCAACGGCGGUUAAGUAAGUUGAGAGUCAAAUAUCAGGGCUCAACCUUGAUACUGCUUUCAAUACUGCUUGACUUGAGGGUGGAAGAGGUAAGCGGAAUUGUCGGUGUAGCGGUGAAAUGCGUUGAUAUCGACAAGAACACCAAUUGCGAAGGCAGCUUACUAGUACACACCUGACGCUUCAAGAACGAAAGCGUGGGGA